CCUACGGGCGGCAGCAGUGAGGAAUAUUGCUCAAUGGACGAGAGUCUGAACCAGCCACGUAGCGUGAAGGAUGACUGCCCUAUGGGUUGUAAACUUUUUUUAUAAAGGAAUAAAACGAGGCACGUGUGCCUUUUUGCAUGUACUUUAUGAAUAAGGAUCGGCUAACUCCGUGCCAGCAGCCGCGGUAAUACGGAGGAUCCGAGCGUUAUCCGGAUUUAUUGGGUGUAAAGGGAGCGUAGAUGGGUUGUUAAGUCAGUUGUGAAAGUUUGCGGCUCAACCGUAAAAUUGCAAUUGAUACUGGCAGUCUAGAGUACAGUUGAGGUAGGCGGAAUUCGUAGUGUAGCGGUGAAAUGCUUAGAUAUCACGAAGAACCCCGGUUGCGAAGGCAGCUUACUAAACUGUGACUGACGUUGAGGCUCGAAAGUGUGGGGAUCAAACAGGAUUAGAUACCCUGGUAGUC
rnacentral:rRNA from 1 species